rnacentral:lncRNA from 1 species
GAGAAAUAAGCUAUAGAGAAGCGAGUCCAGAGCGGAGGCUCCAGAAAGGGGGCGCGGGGAAAGCGAUGAGACCCUCGCCCACAAUCGGCUUGCAUUUCUGGAUUUUUCUUUAAACGGGUGAUUGCGGUUUUUUGAUGCUGCAUUUUUGUGGGGCCCUUAGGCAGCUGCCUCUGGUGGUAAAAGCUAGGCGAGGGGGCAGGUGGGAACCCGCCGGUUGUUUAUCCUGUGCUGCCCGCCCCUUCUAUUCUGCUCAGUGGGAAAAUAGGUGGUGGUCUGUGUGUGAUCACAUCCACAACAUCCACAUUGAACACCUACUGGAAGAAUCCUGAAAAUUGUUGUUUGUUAAGGGUGCUGGAAACUGUAGUUCUGCAAGGGGAAAGCAGCAGCUCCCAGGAUGCUUUGGGGGAAGCUACUUGCGGGUGGUGCUGUGGGUUAAACCACUGAGCCUAGGGCUUGCCGAUCGGAAUGUCAGCGGUUCGAAUCCACGAGACGGAGUGAGCUCCCGUUGCUCGGUCCCUGCUCCUGCCAACCUAGCAGUUCAAAAGCAUGUCAAAGUGCAAGUAGAUAAAUAAGUACUGCUCUGGCGGGAAGGUAAACGGUGUUUCCGUGCGCUGCUCUGGUUCGCCAGAAGCGGCUUAGUCAUGCUGGCCACAUGACCCGGAAGCUGUCAGUGGACAAACACCAGCUCCCUCAGCCAGUAAAGCGAGUCGUCCGCGACUGGACUUAAUGGUCAGGGGUCCCUUUACCUUUACUUGCGUUAAACAUGCUUGAACUGUACAGCAUAGAAACACAGAAUUGUAUAUUUUGGAAGGGACCCAGGGGGCGUCUAGUCCAUCCCCCUAGAAUGCAGGAAUCACAGCUACAUCACAGAGCCCAUCUUCCGUGCAUUAUAUCGGUGUUCUUCAAACGUUGGCCUUCCAGAUAUUGCUGGACUACAGCUCCCACCAUCCUGACUGCGGGUGAUGGGAGUCCUGUAACAUCUGGAGGGCACCAGGCUGGGCAAAGCUGAUCUUAGGUACCAGACCCCAUUAACAUUUUAUCUCAAACUCUGGGGAGAACUUAAGGUUCACACAGGAGAAUAUGAGACUUGAGAUAUCUCAGCCCUGGACUACAUCAGACUUUUUAAGUCAAGGCCAUCAUUUUGAAUUAAGCCUGGAAACCAGCUUUAAGACCAUGUGUCUCUAUAGAGGGCAAUCCUCUAUUUGUAGGCAUUAUUUGUUGCAGUGUUCUUCAACCCUGAGUGCUCUGGAUGCUUCUAGACUACAAUACCUAUCAUCCCUGACCAUUGUCCAAGCUGGGAAUGAUGGGAUUUGUGGUGCAACCUUGGGUACCCAAAGUUGAAGAACAUCACCAUAAAUGAAGCUCGUGCCCUCAAGUGUGCUGGAGAAUGCUCUCUUCUUGUUGGGAGUGAAAUCAGAUUCCAGCUGCUAUCCCAGCGGGCUUCUGUUUGUGGGAUGCUGUCCAGAAGUUGGACUUGUGUGCAAUAGCAAUUCUCCACACCUCUGAUUCCUAGGAAGUAGUACCCAGAGGUAUACUGUCUCAGAUAGUGGUGGUAGAAGAACAGAAGAUCCUGGCUGCUGGAUCAGGCCAAAGGGGGCUUAUGUAGCUCAGCAUCGGUAGAGCAUGAGGCUCUUAAUCUCAGGGUCGUGUGUCUGAGCCUCACAUUGGGCAAAAUAUUCCUGCAUUGAAAGGGGUUGGACUAGAUGACCCUCAUGGUCCCUUCCAACUCUACUAUUAUUCUGUCCUGUUCUCAGAGUGGCCAGCCAGAUGUGACAGUGGGAAGCCUACAAGCAGGACCUAAAAACAGAUCUCCAGCACAGGUUUCCAUCAACUGGAAUUCAGAAGCGCCCGGUCUCCUGCAGUGGAGGCACAGCAUAGCUAGUAGCCAUUAAUAGCCUUAUCCUCCUCCACAAAUUUGUCUCAUCCUCUUUUAAAGCUGUCUAGGUUGGUGGCCAUCACUGCCUACUGUGGGAGGGAGUUCCACAGUCUGACUAUGCACUGCAUGAAGGACUUUUUUUAUGUGUCCCGAAUCUUCCAACAUUCAGCUUCAUUGGAUGUGCCCAACUUCUAGCAUUAUGACAGAGGGAGGUUUUCUCUACACCAGGCAUAACUGUGUCUACUUCCAGCAUGCCUUUUUUUUUAUUACAUUUUCUCUAAACAACAACAACAAAAAAGCCCCAAAAUGUUGCAACCAUUCCUCAUAGGGGAUUUACUCUAUCCCCUCAACCAUUUCCAUUGCCCUUUCCUGAACUGAAAAGUCUGGUGGCAUCAUUAUAGAGGACUUGGGUGAUCCAGCUCCUGUGAAUGAGAAGGGAGGUGGGGUUUUUUUUGGGGGGGGAGGUUGUCUGGGAGUUCUCAGUUUCCAGCCUCUUUGGUUUACCAAAAUGAUAUUUAGUGGGGUGGAAUCCCCAGGGACACAGUGGAGAAUAAGUCUGCUUGUUGGGUGGUUGUGAAGCUGCUGAUCAGUGGCUAAGUUAACUUCCAUGAUCAGAGGAAGUGGGCCACUGAAUGCAUAAUCCACAGCAGCCAUUCUAUCUGGCUCUAUGAGAGGAAGAGAGCUGGAAUUAUAGUACCUCUCCAUCUGCUCUCCUGGAAGACCAGCUACUUUUGGCUCCUUCUCUGCUUGAAAUUUUUCCAUUCCAGAUGGUCUUUACAAGAACUCUACAACUAAGAAAUAAUUCCUGAGUUGUUUUUUCUUCUUCUUCUUCUUCUUCUUCUUCUUCUUCUUCUUCUUCUUCUUCUUCUUCUUCUUCUUCUUCCUCUGCUUCUUCCCUCCCAUUCCUUUUUCCUUUUGUGUUAUGUAGGUUUGGAUAAAAAUGCUUUAAAAAAGAAGAAGAAGAAGAUAGUACUGGGUGUCAACAGGAGCGGCAGGCUGUUGCCUUCUUUUCAAAUAAUUUUAGUUGAAGUUUUAAAAGUAUAAGAAAAGGAAAAAAUUACAGAAGAAAAAUGAAAAAGAGAUGAGAGGGAGAAGAUACCCAAAUAGCAGCAUUAUAUAGCAUCCAUGCAGGCAUAGAACAUGAGUACAGCAGAAUAUUGCCAAGGUUUAACAAAAAACUUGCGCAUUUUGAGAAAAGAAAAUAUGUUGAACGUGUGGUGGAUCAAACAAAAAUUUAAUUAAUCUUAAUUUCCAUGCUUAUUUAUCAUAUAUACAACAUAGUAAUAGAGAGAUGAUAAAAAUGAACUAUGAUAAAAUAAAAUAGCAUGGGCGUGUUGUAUCUUAUUGAGUGUAGUUUCAUGUAACCCAUAUUGUAGAAUAAGCUGCUAGAGGGCAGGGGUGCCCUGUGCCAUUUCACAUCCUGAGGCAAAAUGGGAAGGUGCCACACCACCACUACUACCCCAACUUGCUGCUGCCCAUUCCUCAUUGAAGCCUUGUUUGCUGGGGUCAUACGGCUGCAGCUUUCAGGUUCCAACACGAUCUCUCAAGAGGAGGUCUAUGAGAUCUCGCUGGGUUAUGAAAAUGAUAUACAGGUGGUACAUGACCCCAGUCAAGCUUGCAAAAAUCUAUCAUUUGCCCGAUAAUAAAUGCUGGAAAUGUAAAGAAACUGAAGGUACAUUCUUUCACCUUUGGUGGACGUGCCCAAAGAUUAAGGCUUUCUGGGAAAUGAUAUAUAAUGAAUUGAAAAAGGUAUUUAAAUAUACCUUUCUGAAGAAACCAGAGGGCUUUCUUCUGGGCAUUGUCGGCCAAUUGGUGCCAAAGAAGGACAGAACUUUUUUUAUGUAUGCUACAACAGCAGCAAGAAUACUCAUCGCAAAGUAUUGGAAGACAUAAGAUCUACCCACUCUGGAAGAAUGGCAGAUGAAGGUGAUUGACUACAUGGAAUUGGCAGAAAUGACUGGCAGACUCCGAGACCAGGGAGAAGAGUCGGUGAAAGAAGACUGGAAGAAAUUUAAAGACUAUUUACAGAAAUAUUGUAAAAUUAAUGAAUGUUAGAAGGAUGUUGGAUAGAAACUAAGUGGUUUCCAGCUGUAAUGCUUUAAGAGAUAUGAAAAAAAGGUUCACAAAUGGGUAAAAGCUUAAUGGUAAGGAUUUGCUGAACUAACAAAAUGAACUGGAAUACAAAAAAGGGAGGUACGAGGAGGUCCGGGGAAAUAAGUGUAAGGAAGAUAUGCUAUGGAAAAUUAAUGUGUUUUUAACUGUUUUUAUUUUGUAUGUUUCUUUUUAUUUUUCAUUUCUUUGUUAUAUUUUCUUGUAUUUUUACUUUUUGUUUUGUGUAAUUCUUGUAUUCUUUGAAAUUUUAAUAAAUAUCAUU